AAGGCUGUGGCGCAGUGGGAGCGCCCGUCUGGCAAACGGCAGUCGUAGAUUCGACUCCUGCCGCCGUUU
rnacentral:tRNA from 1 species